rnacentral:rRNA from 1 species
UGGGGAAUAUUGCACAAUGGGCGCAAGCCUGAUGCAGCCAUGCCGCGUGUGUGAAGAAGGCCUUCGGGUUGUAAAGCACUUUCAGCGAGGAGGAAGGUGGUGAGCUUAAUACGCUCAUCAAUUGACGUUACUCGCAGAAGAAGCACCGGCUAACUCCGUGCCAGCAGCCGCGGUAAUACGGAGGGUGCAAGCGUUAAUCGGAAUUACUGGGCGUAAAGCGCACGCAGGCGGUUUGUUAAGUCAGAUGUGAAAUCCCCGGGCUCAACCUGGGAACUGCAUUUGAAACUGGCAAGCUAGAGUCUCGUAGAGGGGGGUAGAAUUCCAGGUGUAGCGGUGAAAUGCGUAGAGAUCUGGAGGAAUACCGGUGGCGAAGGCGGCCCCCUGGACGAAGACUGACGCUCAGGUGCG